rnacentral:rRNA from 1 species
AGUGAACGCUGGCGGUAGGCCUAACACAUGCAAGUCGAACGGCAGCACAGUAAGAGCUUGCUCUUACGGGUGGCGAGUGGCGGACGGGUGAGGAAUACAUCGGAAUCUACUUUUUCGUGGGGGAUAACGUAGGGAAACUUACGCUAAUACCGCAUACGACCUACGGGUGAAAGCAGGGGAUCUUCGGACCUUGCGCGAUUGAAUGAGCCGAUGUCGGAUUAGCUAGUUGGCGGGGUAAAGGCCCACCAAGGCGACGAUCCGUAGCUGGUCUGAGAGGAUGAUCAGCCACACUGGAACUGAGACACGGUCCAGACUCCUACGGGAGGCAGCAGUGGGGAAUAUUGGACAAUGGGCGCAAGCCUGAUCCAGCCAUACCGCGUGGGUGAAGAAGGCCUUCGGGUUGUAAAGCCCUUUGUUGGGAAAGAAAAGCAGCAGGUUAAUACCCCGCUGUCCUGACGGUACCCAAAGAAUAAGCACCGGCUAACUUCGUG